CAGGGAUUGCCUCAGUAACGGCGAGUGAAGCGGCAAGAGCUCAAAUUUGAAAUCUGGCCCCUUCGGGGUCCGAGUUGUAAUUUGUAGAGGAUGUUCCGGGUGCGGCGCCGGUCUAAGUCCCCUGGAACAGGGCGUCAUAGAGGGUGAGAAUCCCGUAUGCGACCGGCGACCAACCCCGUGUGAAACUCCUUCGACGAGUCGAGUUGUCUGGGAAUGCAGCUCCAAAUGGGUGGUAAAUUUCAUCUAAAGCUAAAUACCGGCCAGAGACCGAUAGCGCACAAGUAGAGUGAUCGAAAGAUGAAAAGCACUUUGGAAAGAGAGUCCAAAAGUACGUGAAAUUGUUGAAAGGGAAGCGCUUGCAACCAGACCUGUCCGCGGGCGAUCAACCCCUGUUCUCAGGGGUGCAUUCGCCCGCGAUCAGGCCAGCAUCGGUUCGGGCGGCGGGAUAAAGGCCUCGGGAAUGUAGCUCCCUUCGGGGAGUGUUAUAGCCCUUGGUGCAAUGCGGCCAGCCCGGACCGAGGACCGCGCUUCGGCUAGGAUGCUGGCGUAAUGGUUGUAAGCGACCCGUCUUGAAACACGGACCAAGGAGUCGACCAUCUAUGCGAGUGUUUGGGCGUCAAACCCAUGCGCGUAAUGAAAGUGAACGGAGGUGAGAACCUCUCGGGGGCGCUCCAUCGACCGAUCCAGAUGUCUUCGGAUGGAUUUGAGUACGAGCAUAACUGGUCUGUCCCGAAAGAUGGUGAUCUAUACUUGAAUAGGGUGAAGCCAGAGGAAACUCUGGUGGAGGCUCGCAGCGGUUCUGACGUGCAAAUCGAUCGUCAAAUUUGAGUAUAGGGGCGAAAGACUAAUCGAACCAUCUAGUAGCUGGUUCCUGCCGAAGUUUCCCUCAG
rnacentral:rRNA from 1 species